UCCAGCGGUUGUCAGCUAUCCAGGCUAGUGUGAUGCCUUGGAUGGUGUUACACUGUUGGAAGAGCAAGCGCUGCCUUUAAUGAGGUCUGGCUCCAAGCACUGUUUUGGUGUUGUGGCCGAGUACCUUUGGGCAGUGUUUUGCACCUCUGAGAGUGGAAUAACUUCUCCUGUGGAGUUAGUUCUAGUCUGGGUGCGAACAAU
rnacentral:snoRNA from 12 species